AUUGAACGCUGGCGGCAGGCCUAACACAUGCAAGUCGAACGAGCGGCGGACGGGUGAGUAAUGUCUGGGAAUCUGCCCGAUGGAGGGGGAUAACUACUGGAAACGGUAGCUAAUACCGCAUACUAUCGGAUGUACCCAGAUGGGAUUAGCUAGUAGGUGGGGUAACGGCUCACCUAGGCGACGAUCCCUAGCUGGUCUGAGAGGAUGACCAGCCACACUGGAACUGAGACACGGUCCAGACUCCUACGGGAGGCAGCAGUGGGGAAGAUUGCACAAUGGGCGCAAGCCUGAUGCAGCCAUGCCGCGUGUAUGAAGAAGGCCUUAGGGUUGUAAAGUACGUUCAGCGGGGAGGCGUUACCCACAGAAGAAGCACCGGCUAACUCCGUGCCAGCAGCCGCGGUAAUUC
rnacentral:rRNA from 1 species